GUUUCAGCAGCCGCGGUAAUACGUAGGGUGCAAGCGUUGUCCGGAAUUAUUGGGCGUAAAGAGCUCGUAGGCGGUCUGUCGCGUCGGCUGUGAAAACUCGGGGCUCAACCCCGAGCCUGCAGUCGAUACGGGCAGACUAGAGUGCUGUAGGGGAGACUGGAAUUCCUGGUGUAGCGGUGAAAUGCGCAGAUAUCAGGAGGAACACCGGUGGCGAAGGCGGGUCUCUGGGCAGUAACUGACGCUGAGGAGCGAAAGCGUGGGGAGCGAACAGGAUUAGAUACCCUGGUAGUCCACGCCGUAAACGGUGGGUGCUAGGUGUGAGCGGUAUUCCACGCCGUUCGUGCCGCAGCUAACGCAUUAAGCACCCCGCCUGGGGAGUACGGCCGCAAGGCUAAAACUCAAAGGAAUUGACGGGGGCCCGCACAAGCAGCGGAGCAUGUGGCUUAAUUCGACACAACGCGAAGAACCUUACCAAGGCUUGACAUACACCGAAAACUCGUAGAGAUACGGGGUCCGCAAGGGCGGUGUACAGGUGGUGCAUGGUUGUCGUCAGCUCGUGUCGUGAGAUGUUGGGUUAAGUCCCGCAACGAGCGCAACCCUCGUUCUAUGUUGCCAGCACAUGAUGGUGGGGACUCAUAGGAGACUGCCGGGGUCAACUCGGAGGAAGGUGGGGACGACGUCAAAUCAUCAUGCCCCUUAUGUCUUGGGCUGCACACAUGCUACAAUGGCCGGUACAAAGGGCUGCUAAGCCGCGAGGUGGAGCGAAUCCCAAAAAGCCGGUCUCAGUUCGGAUUGGGGUCUGCAACUCGACCCCAUGAAGUCGGAGUUGCUAGUAAUCGCAGAUCAGCAACGCUGCGGUGAAUACGUUCCCGGGCCUUGUACACACCGCCCGUCAAAC
rnacentral:rRNA from 1 species